GUCAAGAGGGAAACAGCCCGGACCGUCCGGCCAAGGCCCCGAAACUAUGCUAAUUGUGAAAUGAAGUGUGGAUGCACAGACAGCCAGGAGGUUGGCUCAGAAGCAGCCAUUCCUUAAAAGAGUGCGUAACAGCUCACUGGUCGAGCAUCCGCGCGCAGACAAUGUAACGGGGCUAAGCAUAGCACCGAAGCCGUGGAUUCGCAUAUCAUUUGAUACGAUGGUAGGGGAACCUUUCCGUUAACUCAAGAAGGAAUACCCGCGAGGGGCUUUGGAGGAAAAGGAAGAGAGAAUGCAGGCAUAAGUAACGAAAAGACGGGUGGGAUUCCCGUCCGCCGAAAACCAAAGGUUUUCAGGGUAAAGGCAAUCUGCCCUGGGUAAGUCGGCCCCUAAGGCCAGGUCGAAAGCCGUAGCCGAUGGGAAAUCGGUUUAUAAUCCGAUGCUUUCCCAUGUUUCGAGGACAGGACGCAUGAGGUGAAACCCGGCCGGAGAACGGUUGUUCCGGUCAAAGCGCCGAGGCUGAUCAAGGCCGCAGGCAAAUCCGCCGUCUGAGGUGAGGCGUUACAGCGAGCGCAGAGAAAAUGUCAACGCAGCUCGCACGUCCUCGGGGCGCCGGAAAACACUGUCUAGCGCUGCGCGGUGGAGACCACCCCGUACCCAGACACGUGUGUGUGGGAUGAAAAAUCAGGCGCUCACGAGCCACCUCGUUUUAGAGAACUCCGCAAUGUGCACGUGUCUUUUCGGAAAAUGUGUGUCUCGUUUUGUAUAAUAUUAAGAGCGGCAAAGCGCGCGCGGCGCGAGUGUUUAAAAACACAC
rnacentral:rRNA from 1 species